rnacentral:rRNA from 1 species
AGAGUUUGAUCCUGGCUCAGAUUGAACGCUGGCGGCAGGCCUAACACAUGCAAGUCGAGCGUGAAAAUCCUUCGGGAUGAGUAAAGCGGCGGACGGGUGAGUAACGCGUAGGAAUCUGCCCUGAAGCGGGGGAUAACUUGGGGAAACUCAAGCUAAUACCGCAUAGACCUAAGGGUGAAAGAUGGGGAUCUUCGGACCUAUCGCUUCAGGAGGAGCCUGCGUCGGAUUAGCUUGUUGGUGGGGUAAAGGCCUACCAAGGCGACGAUCCGUAGCUGGUCUGAGAGGAUGGCCAGCCACACUGGGACUGAGACACGGCCCAGACUCCUACGGGAGGCAGCAGUGGGGAAUAUUGGACAAUGGGCGCAAGCCUGAUCCAGCCAUGCCGCGUGUGUGAAGAAGGCUCUAGGGUUGUAAAGCACUUUAAGUUGUGAGGAAGUUACGGUUGCAAAUAGUGAUCGUAAUUGACGUUAGCAACAGAAUAAGCACCGGCUAACUCCGUGCCAGCAGCCGCGGUAAUACGGGGGGUGCAAGCGUUAAUCGGAUUUACUGGGCGUAAAGAGCACGUAGGCGGUUGAUUAAGUUGGAUGUGAAAGCCCAGGGCUUAACCUUGGAACUGCAUUCAAAACUGGUCAACUCGAGUAAGGGAGAGGAGAGUGGAAUUUCCAGUGUAGCGGUGAAAUGCAUAGAUAUUGGAAGGAAC